UGGCCAAUUUGGAAGAUUGAGUCUCAAAUAUGAUUGCUUGGUGAUUUGAUUUAACCUAUGCCAAUUAGAUUAGUCAUGAGAUGACUGAUUAGAUGAGACGUAAAUCCAAAAUCUCUCUAUUAAUAUUAAGUCCAAUGGUCUUCCACCAUUGUAGAUGUGCGGGCAUACUACCGACGUUGAUUGUUCUCGAUUGAUCACAGUGAUUCGGUU
rnacentral:lncRNA from 1 species